rnacentral:rRNA from 1 species
UAGGGAAUCUUCCGCAAUGGACGAAAGUCUGACGGAGCAACGCCGCGUGAGUGAAGAAGGAUUUCGGUUCGUAAAACUCUGUUGUUAGGGAAGAAAAAAUGUAUAGUAACUAUAUACAAAAGAGACGGUACCUAACCAGAAAGCCACGGCUAACUACGUGCCAGCAGCCGCGGUAAUACGUAGGUGCAAGCGUUGUCCGGAAUUAUUGGGCGUAAAGCGCGCGCAGGUGGUUUAGAAAGUCUGAUGUGAAAGCCCACGGCUCAACCGUGGAGGGUCAUUGGAAACUAAUAAACUUGAGUGCAGGAGAGAAAAGUGGAAUUCCUAGUGUAGCGGUGAAAUGCGUAGAGAUUAGGAGGAACACCGGUGGCGAAAGCGGCUUUUUGGCCUGCAACUGACACUGAGGCGCGAAAGCGUGGGGAGCAAACCGG